AUAGUCGAAUUUGAUAAUUGCGACGAUCGAAUAAGAGAAAGCUUUUGCCCAGGAGUAGCGAAUAAUUGUACAAGCAAGCAUCCAGGCUAUGAUUGUUUAUGUAAUAAAGGCUUUAAGGCAAUAGAGACAUUUUACAAACCCGGUACUAAGUACCAGUAUUGUGAAGAUAUUGAUGAAUGUCUUGAUGCAAAUAUUUGUGGGAGUAAUUCGAACUGCAUUAAUACUGUUGGAAAUUUUACAUGUUCCUGUAUAGAUGGAUUUGUACGAAACAAGAAUAAAAAU